rnacentral:rRNA from 1 species
UACGUAGGGUGCAAGCGUUAAUCGGAAUUACUGGGCGUAAAGCGUGCGCAGGCGGCUUUGCAAGACAGAUGUGAAAUCCCCGGGCUUAACCUGGGAACUGCAUUUGUGACUGCAAGGCUGGAGUCUGGCAGAGGGGGGUAGAAUUCCACGUGUAGCAGUGAAAUGCGUAGAGAUGUGGAGGAACACCGAUGGCGAAGGCAGCCCCCUGGGUCAAGACUGACGCUCAUGCACGAAAGCGUGGGGAGCAAACAGG